rnacentral:rRNA from 1 species
UACGGGGGGGGCAAGCGUUGUUCGGAAUUACUGGGCGUAAAGGGCUCGUAGGCGGCCAACUAAGUCAGACGUGAAAUCCCUCGGCUUAACCGGGGAACUGCGUCUGAUACUGGAUGGCUUGAGUUUGGGAGAGGGAUGCGGAAUUCCAGGUGUAGCGGUGAAAUGCGUAGAUAUCAAGAGGAACACCUGAGGUGAAGACGGGUUGCUGGGCUGACACUGACGCUGAGGCGCGAAAGCCAGGGGAGCAAACGGG